AGCAGUGGCUAGAGAACGAGAACGAGAGCGGGAACUGGAAUCUUUCGCCCGAGAACUCGUGGCGGAACUUGACGGAAAAUGACAAAAGAGGCGUUGACGCACCAGCGUCACGACCGGAUUUGAAUUGGCCAAAGCGCUUUCUGGUGCAUCCUCUGCUGGUGGAGAUGGUGGUCUCGUGGUGCUGGUGGAAGAGUUGGUCGAGGAGAGAAUAUUGUGCAUGAGCAACACGAGGAGCUGAACCCGGGGACGGACGAUCGAGGCCGAGAGUGCACGCUCGAGUUGAGGCCCCCAAGAGUCCAAAACGUCAAUGCGCCAUCUCAUCAAAACAGAACGUGAGGAAGUUUGAGGCUUCAGUCGACCCGCAGUGAUACACGGAGAAAGAGAGAGGAGGAGUAGGAGGAGGAGGAGGAGAUGAUGAUACAACAACAACAACAGCCGCAACCAUAUAGCCAAUGGCCACAACAUUGACAACAUCGACGACAACAACGACAACAACAACCACACCAUCGACGAAGGAUUCCAUUUCCCUUCUCCACUCUACGGAGCUCGGAGCUCUUGGAAGACCCAAGUGGAACAACUCUCACGGACUCGCCAAGACUCACUUACGCUCAUCCUUUUUGAGCGAAGAUCGGAUCGACGAGAGAGUCUGUCCAGAGGGUAAGAAGGGAUAUGUGAAGAAUUCAGUUUCUCCUCCCCGACCUCCGAAGUCGACUCCAUUCAAAAUGGAGGCCACUUUCCCAUUCAACACCACCCGAUUGGGAGAGUGGCCUUCAUUCUCCACUGUCUCUCUGACCAAACCAAAGAAGCAGCUCAACAAAAAUGUCUACCUCAAACGACCCUCUAAUCAUCGUGGGCUGCGUAGAAACUGACAACCACUCGCACAACCUGACGGCCUGUCUCCUCACGUGGGUUGAUAAUGGUUGUUGGUUGUCUUCCUCGACUCCUUAGACUUCUUCGUCUGCUGCCGGUGUUGCACGUUCCGGCCAAAGUUGUCACAAUUGUGAAUUGAUGCACAACUUUCGAUCCACGACAUCGACUGCACCUUGUCAAUUGUUUUGUCAUUGUCGUGCUCGACUUUCGAGAGAAGUGCAUCAUGGCCAAUGAGAGACGGUGAGACUGUGCCAUCCCGAGGUCCAAAUCAAGCCAGGUAUGGUGUUGUUGUCCACCAUGGCGGUGGCUGUGAUACUGAUGAUGAUGAUGGAGAUGAUCCUCCCACUGAAGUCAUGCUUGGAGCUGGCAUGAAAAUUGGUUUCAACAGCAAACCAAUGAAUUUUCUUCUCAUGAUAUCGAAGGCUAAUCAAAUUUCAUCCAUUCUUGAUCACCAUCCAUCAGUGCUGAAAACCUUAUUGGUUCUUUUUGCUCCUCAAUGAAAACGAAGUUGAAGAUUGGAUAUCGACUUUGAUGCUGAUAACAGGUUGGUUUCCCGAUUUCCAUCCGAAUUAGUUUUGUGCUCCCAUCAUGAACCAACCAUCCAGAGCGAGGGAAGGCACGAAGAAAAGAUCCCACCAUCCUUGCCCGCUUGCCCGUUUGCCCGCUUGCCCGCUGGCAUGCCUGCUCAGUUACUCAGUUGCUCACUUGCUCACCCUCCGAGUCCGCGUCGUUCCACGGAAAAUGGAAAAGCCAAUUCGAUCAUGAUGAUUUCCAUCUCAUUGUUGUUGAACUGUCGACGGCGACGUGGUCGCACGUCCUCGUCUGUUGUUGCCAUCUUGGACCAUCAUUUGGAAGUCUAAUCACGUCCUUCAGUCGGCGACCCUUUGGAAAUGUGAACAAGCGAGUGAGUGAGACUCAGAGAACGAGAGAGCCUCUUUGGCCACGGGUCCAUGAAAUCAAUCCCGUUAGCCUCAGGGAUUCACAAUGGAGUCAGCAGCCAGACUAGAAAAGGGUAGCCAGAAAUCUCAUGGACAUCCCAUCGAAGUUUUUGGAGCACACUAAACAAAAAGACCUAUCCAGAUGGACGACCAGUCAUGGGAACAACGUCUCUGGACGCAAAAAAGCGUUUUAGUCCUGAUGAUGAACCCAAAGUUGCAUCCCAUCCACGACCACCACCACAGCUUGAAUGGGGAUGGCUAUAGACAAAAAAGACCCUGACCCAAACUUGUCCCUUGAUUUAAUGACCCUUGGCUCGGAUAAGACGACGAUGAUCACGACGAAGACGGAGACUCAUUCAUUCAUUCAUUUCUGAUUUCUCAACACAUAUUGUGACCACCUUCAUCAAAAGGAUCCAUUCUCUCCCAAAGUGCUAUCAACCCUGAUGUUCCCAUUGCCAAACUUCUUGCGAUUAUCUUCUGGGCCACAUUUCAAAUUUGUUCAGUUCCUUCAGUUCCUGUGGUUCUCAUCAAGCCCCUUCCGUGAUACUUUCUCAAUGAGUUCAGUUCAAACCCACCCACCCACAAACCUUUGGAAAAAGAGAAGAAUGAAAAAACACUUGCCAAAAAAAAAAGAAUCCACUUUAUUGCAAAGGCCAGCACCACAAGAGGCCAUACCCACAAAAGGCCAAGAAUCCGGUCUUCCGCCUCCAUUUUACGUUCAAUGGAAAUAUCCGAGAAUGAAGAAGCUAUAAGUGAGGUCUCAAGUCAUGCGGUAAGUCGAGAUUCAAAAUUCCGAUUCGUAGUCAUGAAAAGCACACUCAUAUAUUGGUAGUACGACAAGCUGUCUGCGUAUCGAUUCGUUUGUGACCCCACUCCGUUUGAAGCGGACUCAUGUUGACACUCUUGGGAUCCCUGCUUACGGCAAAACAAGUUGUCAAAUACCCCAUCGCCUCCUGUUUCUUCUCCUCCUGCCCCCAGUUUAAACUACGGUCUUUCAAUUGAGUUUUCAACACUUCAGAGUGACUCUCGUUCUCUCUCUUUGUCGUGGAGUGGCUUAGAGAAACAUUGCUGGUGUUGGACUCCCAAUGACAUCCUAAUUGUUCGUCUCAAUUUCCAAGAAGAACGAACGACUCAGUUCUCGCCCACCCUAGAAUCAUCCCUUCGAGGAUGCACAAAGUUGUUUCUCUAAGUCGCGCUUUGUUCGGUUUAAAACGUGUAUAUCGACAUGUACCAUAAGAAAUCUGGGUAGUUAAAGACAAUUUUUUGUUUUCAGUCCAUAUCUUCACUUUUUGAUCCGUAUCGAUCUCUCCUACCCCCCCCGCCCUUUUUUGUCCAAAGUUGUCCAAAGAACAAGCACGUCACCUCAAAAUUCGAACCAUUGGAUCCCCUAUUUGCUGAUGUCCUUUUGGUGCCCCCACCAACCACCCUCUCUCGUGCGUAUGGAGUUUGAGUGUUUUUUUCCCAUUUUUCAUUGAGUUCCAAAUUCAGUUCUGCCUGCAAACGCAAUUUUUCCCCUUCAAUAUAUGACAAAAAAGGAAAUCCCAACUUAGAAAAAAAAUCAGUUCUCUUCCUGAAGUAUCACCACCCACGUUACCAUUAUUGCCACCACCACCACCACCACCACCAUCAUCAUCUCCUCCUUCCUUACCGAAGAACUAUUUCUUCUCUAAGAAAAAAUCUACUACUAGACCACAUGUGACUGAGUCAAGCGACAAAAUUGAGAAUGGCUCAAGUUGUAUACCCUAUAUCCACCAUCAUGUAUAACUUGACUGACCAUUACGCGAUCGAUGCCCUUUUACGUCUAAUUUGGAACAUCCAUCUCCUGCUAAGAAGAACACACACACACACACAAAGAGUAGAGGGCGCUUACGAAAAUAAGUCCAGCUUGCUUUCACACCUCUUUGUUGUGGGCGAGUCGGAUCAUCUGUUUAUACUCGCAAGUCUUUCAUAACCAAUCUACCAGAAGUCUUUCGUCUUUUAUGCUAAGAUCCUGAUCAAGUACAAACCAACUCACCCCUACUACUAUUACAACCACCAUCAACAACAACAUCAACAACAACAACACCACCAACAACAACAACAACAACCAACAAAAACAUCCAAUUGAACUUCAAAUUCGCACCCCUGAAGCGAUUCAUUUACUACAAACUUGACUGCUACUAAUAUCCGUCCCCAUGUUAGAUAAUGAGAGCUUAGUCGCUAAAGUGCCGCCCCCUCACAUACCCGUGAAGUCUUUCAAAUAGACCAAUCCGAUGGCUGACAUUGCUCAGAUCGAUUGGUAUUCACUACGUACAUGUCUUUCAAUUGUCCUUGACCUAUUCGCCCUGUUCUUGCCAUCCAUGGCGUGUUCGGCUUUCAAGGCUUAGGUGGCGUCCUCGUGUGGUAAAGUUUAUGCCACCGGUUACUUUCCGGAUGCUUCUUAUGUCAUUGGUGCCGGUUCGUCCGUAAGAAUCGAGAUCGGGUGGGUAGCGAUAGGACUGGCUACUUUCCUGGUUUGGCAUUAUCUGAGAUGGGGACCGAUCGAGCAGAUCUCACAGCUCACACAACGGUCUUUCAAUUCCUAUCAAAAAUGUUUGAAUCCCUUGCUUACCAAGGCAGUCUUACUACGCGUGGCAAGUGCAUUCAUUCCCUCCUUUGCGUCUUUCUCCCACACCCCCAAAAAUGUAUUCUAUUUUAUUUUCAUUUGUUUUUGGAGCAUUCAUAACGAGAAAUCCAGUCUUUCAUUUAUCACUACCACUCCAAUUACUUCGACUUCAGUGCAACUUCAACUUCUACUACGUCCGCGAUGGUGUGUCCCGCUUGAUCAUUAAAAUUCGUCGUCGUUGCUGUUGUUAUUGUCCCCCGGUCUCCUAAUCCUCAUCACCAUCCUCAUCAUCUCCGUCUUUCGAACUCUCACUCUCACCCUGUCUCUUCAUCAGUUGGGGGGGUCUCUCCAUCCAUUAAAGAGCCCCCUUGUCUUUGCAAUGCAGACCUUUCAUUACUUACGAAAUUACUCACAGCGCCAUGGCUUCCUUCAAAAUACUCCUUGCAACCCCAAGAGCUACUUACUAGUCCUUAGUAUGUACUUGAACGAUUCAGACUUUAUCCACCAAAAACACCAUUGCAUUCAUUUCACCUUUCUCUAAUCCUCAUUGCUAUCUAGCAUAUACCUAGUGUACAGAGUAGUCUCCUUCUAAUCAUCGGAAAAAUUAUUCACGUUUGAGGUAAACUAGCUCUUAAUAAUGUUAGAUAACAUCAUCGCCAUUGUUGGUUCAUUAUAUCAUGUUCAUUGUACUCAUUAUUCAUUAUGCAACCCAGAAGUCUUUCUGUUCAUGAGAUGUCCAUUCAUCUCUGGGGCAAAUUUUGGAAAAGAAGUUAAAACUCGAAAAGCACGUGUUUGUGUCUUUCUUGGUGGUCUUUCAGUAUCUUUUAAGGAUCCCACACUAAUCACUCUUGGGUGAUUAGCCAACCCAUUUAAUUCGAGUCUUUCAUAAUCAUUAUUUGUAAAAGUCUUUCAUCUUGAUUUGAACAAUGUUGUCCCUGGUAAUUGACUCAAAACUCCCGCUUUUAAUAGUGGAGAUUUGUCCACAAUUUCAGGGUUCCCACUUGUUGCUGAGGUCUUUCAUAAGUUGAUAAACAAACAACCACGACAAACGGGUUUCACCCCUAGAGUCUUUCAGUUAUAUUCUCAUUGGUCUUUCAUCUGUUUCUCUCAAGUUUUGAGUUCAUGCAUCGUCUUUCAUUGCUUGCUACGUUUUUGUUUCAUUAACAAAUGGUUAUCUUGCAAACAAGCACCCUAUCAAGUCUUUCAAUUUGACAUCUUGAAUCAUCUUGUGCUUCUUUUCAAGUGUGUACGUGUAUGAAUAAGAUCCCAAGAAGUCUUUCAUUCACCGAUCUUUCAUUCAAAAUCCCAAAUUCAACGUUUUUUUUAACCUUUUGCGGAGCUUCUUUUGCGAACAAUGCCAGUUCUUGUGCUCAUUGCACUUCAUGAUUACCAUGAGAUAAUGAUACCAGCCAGCUCUUCCCUUGAUUCCAACCCAUUGUCUUUCAUUCAAGUAAAUGUAGCCCCCGAACAGAUUGACUAUUUGCACGUAUACCAUUUGAAUACUUGGGGAUUUGCUACUGAAAAAAAUGAACAAAACAGUAAAUUGAGAGUCGGUUUCUUUCUUACCUCAGCUCUUUCAAUUGGAUAGCUGCUUCUUUCUCUCUUUUCAUGUCUUUCUUGUUAGUGUGAUAGAAAAUAUAUAUGAUUUAUACAUGUCAGGGCACUAUCGGAUGAGUACAAAUUCAAAAAUUCCAUUUCUGAGCUGAAACAAGCCUUCAAACUGGCUAAAUUCGCUCAUGGUCACAAAACCAUCACCACACCCCACACCCCAGUUUCUGUCAAGAAGAUUGUCUUUUCACCGCUUGAGAGCACGCCCACCUUUUACUUGUUUUGACUAAUACCAUUCUUGGUGCAAUUAAGGCCCCCAAAUUGGAAAAAUGUUCAAACUUUAGCUAACUUCAAAAUCAAAUCGUCAUCUUGUUAGGUGUCUCGGUUUCAAUGUCUAUCAGGCGAUGAAAAGGCUCUCUGACUUUUCAGGGCUGUCCCCGUCUUUCACCAAUUCAUGAUUUGAUCGCGUCUUUCAAACCCAAUCACCGAAAUUUCGUCUUUCUAAACCAAUUUGUAUCUGUACAUAAUAAUUCUGACACUCCUCCUUCCUAAUUCUAUUCGUGUUGUUCUGUGUUUCUUAUUUUACCCCUGAAAACACGAUCAUUGUAUUCCUAGCGAGUUAGAACGAGAGUGUCUGGGUUCCAAACGAAUCGAUGCCAAAACUUAGAGAGUGCUUUCAUAUGGCUCGAAUCGGGAUCGAGAGUUCUCGACUUUUCGGGUGACUUGUGGACAUGCGUAUGCGUGAUUUGUAUUACCCGAGUGAAACCAGUUGAGAUGAAUUAUUGUAAUGCUAUUAAAUCUAAAAAUUGCAACUUCGAGUUUGUACCGUGUAAAUGCGUGUGUGACCCUGUGCGACAAAAAGGCCGAGUUCAAUUCUUGUUCACUUGUUUUAGUUUGGCCUCAGUUUGGCCCUGUCCAGCCACAACCACAGUUCUUGACUUGAUUUAGUUAUCACCCCCACUUCCGGGGAAGGGUAAUUGAUUAGUAAGCUGCACAAGUAAACUAUGCUCCCCACAACCUUCUAUUGAUGAUGACACCCAUUGUUGUAAUGAGGCGGCUGUGCCAACGAGUAGGCCAAUUCCAUGAUGACAUUGAUGAUGCACAUAUAGGUACUGUACAAGAUACGAUGAAAGGUUAUGGCUUCAUAAUCUUCUACAUUUGAGCUGAUAUAUCGAAGCCCCUAUCAGAGUGUACUCCAAGAAGUAUGAUGAUAAAACAAAAACUAUCAGAAAAAAAACGGAUGCAAAAAACGCAAAUACAACAUGUUGUUUGAAAAAUGA